rnacentral:tRNA from 1 species
GGGCAAGUGGCGAAGGGGUAACGCUGCGGACUGCAAAUCCGCCAUGCGCCGGUUCGAAUCCGGCCUUGCCCUCCA